GUUUCGUUGUUUACAAUACAACAUCUUCAGAUAUACCAUACCGGGCAUACCCUGUAAAUUCAUUUAGAUUGCUCUGAAGAUGUUGUAUUGUAAACAGCAAAACG